AGUGGCGAACGGGUGAGUAAUAUAUCGGAACGUACCUUAUCGUGGGGGAUGACGCAGCGAAAGCUGCGCUAAUACCGCAUACGCCCUGAGGGGGAAAGCGGGGGACCGUAAGGCCUCGCGCGAUUAGAGCGGCCGAUAUCUGAUUAGCUUGUUGGUGGGGUAAAAGCCCACCAAGGCGACGAUCAGUAGCUGGUCUGAGAGGACGAUCAGCCACGCUGGGACUGAGACACAGCCCAGACUCCUACGGGAGGCAGCAGUGGGGAAUUUUGGACAAUGGGGGCAACCCUGAUCCAGCAAUGCCGCGUGAGUGAAGAAGGCCUUCGGGUUGUAAAGCUCUUUUGUCAGGGAAGAAACAGCAGCUCUAACACAGUCUGCGAAUGACGGUACCUGAAGAAUAAGCACCGGCUAACUACGUGCCAGCAGCCGCGGUAAUACGUAGGGUGCAAGCGUUAAUCGGAAUUACUGGGCGUAAAGCGUGCGCAGGCGGUUAUACAAGACAGGCGUGAAAUCCCCGGGCUUAACCUGGGAGUGGCGUCUGUGACUGUAUGGCUAGAGUGUGUCAGAGGGGGGUAGAAUUCCACGUGUAGCAGUGAAAUGCGUAGAUAUGUGGAGGAAUACCAAUGGCGAAGGCAGCCCCCUGGGAUAACACUGACGCUCAUGCACGAAAGCGUGGGGAGCAAACAGGAUUAGAUACCCUGGU
rnacentral:rRNA from 1 species